GACGAACGCUGGCGGCGUGCUUAACACAUGCAAGUCGAACGGAAAGGCCCUGCUUGCAGGGUACUCGAGUGGCGAACGGGUGAGUAACACGUGGGUGAUCUGCCCUGCACUUCGGGAUAAGCCUGGGAAACUGGGUCUAAUACCGGAUAGGAGCCAUUUUUAGUGUGAUGGUUGGAAAGUUUUUUCGGUGUAGGAUGAGCUCGCGGCCUAUCAGCUUGUUGGUGGGGUAAUGGCCUACCAAGGCGGCGACGGGUAGCCGGCCUGAGAGGGUGGACGGCCACAUUGGGACUGAGAUACGGCCCAGACUCCGACGGGAGGCAGCAGUGGGGAAUAUUGCACAAUGGGCGCAAGCCUGAUGCAGCGACGCCGCAUGGGGGAUGACGGCCUUCGGGUUGUAAACUCCUUUCGCUAGGGACGAAGCUUUUUGUGACGGUACCUAGAUAAGAAGCACCGGCUAACUACGUG
rnacentral:rRNA from 1 species